UACGGGGGGAGCAAGCGUUGUUCGGAUUUACUGGGCGUAAAGGGCGCGUAGGCGGCCACCGCAAGUCGACUGUGAAAUCUCCGGGCUUAACCCGGAAAGGUCAGCCGAUACUGCGGGGCUAGAGUGCAGAAGGGGCAACUGGAAUUCUCGGUGUAGCGGUGAAAUGCGUAGAUAUCGAGAGGAACACCUGCGGCGAAGGCGGGUUGCUGGGCCGACACUGACGCUGAUGCGCGAAAGCCAGGGGAGCGAACGGG
rnacentral:rRNA from 1 species